rnacentral:rRNA from 1 species
AUGCUGAAUUGCAGAAUACAGUGAAUCAUCGAAUCUUUGAACGCACAUUGCGCCCUCUGGUAUUCCGGGGGGCAUGCCUGUUCGAGCGUCAUUACACCUCUCAAGCUCUGCUUGGUAUUGGGCUGUCGUCCCCUGCGGACGGGCCUGAAAAUUAGUGGCUGUCCAGCCGGUGCUCAAGCGUAGUAACAUCAUAUCCCGCUUUGGAGUUACCGGGUGGACCCGCCAGAUAACCCUUUUAAAUUUCAAUGGUUGACCUCGGAUCAGGUAGGGAUACCCGCUGAACUUAAGCAUAUCAAUAAGCGGAGGAAAAGAAACCAACAGGGAUUGCCUCAGUAACGGCGAGUGAAGCGGCAACAGCUCAAAUUUGAAAUCUGGCCCUCGGGCCCGAGUUGUAAUUUGCAGAGGGGAUUUCGGAGGCGGCGCCGGCCUAAGUUCCUUGGAACAGGGCGUCAUAGAGGGUGAGAAUCCCGUCUGUGGCCGGCGGUCAAUUCCAUGUGAAACCCCUUCGACGAGUCGAGUUGUUUGGGAAUAAAAAAAACCCCCAUAAAAAAUAAAAUAAUAAGGCUUAAUACCGGCCANAGACCGAUAGCGCACAAGUAAAGUGAUCAAAAGAUGAAAGCACUUGGGAAAAAAGUAAAAAGUCUUAAAUUGUUGAAAGAAACAAAGAA